rnacentral:rRNA from 1 species
GUGCCAGCAGCCGCGGUAAUACGUAGGUGGCAAGCGUUGUCCGGAAUUAUUGGGCGUAAAGCGCGCGCAGGCGGUCCUUUAAGUCUGAUGUGAAAGCCCACGGCUCAACCGUGGAGGGUCAUUGGAAACUGGGGGACUUGAGUACAGAAGAGGAAAGCGGAAUUCCACGUGUAGCGGUGAAAUGCGUAGAGAUGUGGAGGAACACCAGUGGCGAAGGCGGCUUUCUGGUCUGUAACUGACGCUGAGGCGCGAAAGCGUGGGGAGCAAACAGGAUUAGAUACCCUGGUAGUCC